ACGCUCGACACCUACGGGGGGCAGCAGUGGGGAAUAUUGGGCAAUGGAGGAAACUCUGACCCAGCAACGCCGCGUGAAUGAUGAAGGUCUUCGGAUUGUAAAGUUCUUUUCUAAGGGAAGAAGAAAGUGACGGUACCUUAGGAAUAAGCCUCGGCUAACUACGUGCCAGCAGCCGAGGUAAUCUGAGCGGGCUGGCAAGGC
rnacentral:rRNA from 1 species